rnacentral:piRNA from 1 species
UGGCAAUGUAUUGUCCGAAGGCUAGCA